rnacentral:rRNA from 1 species
UAGCGGUGAAAUGCUUAGAUAUCACGAAGAACUCCGAUUGCGAAGGCAGCCUGCUAAGCUGCAACUGACAUUGAGGCUCGAAAGUGUGGGUAUCAAACAGGAUUAGAUACCCUGGUAGUCCACACGGUAAACGAUGAAUACUCGCUGUUUGCGAUAUACGGCAAGCGGCCAAGCGAAAGCGUUAAGUAUUCCACCUGGGGAGUACGCCGGCAACGGUGAAACUCAAAGGAAUUGACGGGGGCCCGCACAAGCGGAGGAACAUGUGGUUUAAUUCGAUGAUACGCGAGGAACCUUACCCGGGCUUAAAUUGCAGAUGAAUUACGGUGAAAGCCGUAAGCCGCAAGGCAUCUGUGAAGGUGCUGCAUGGUUGUCGUCAGCUCGUGCCGUGAGGUGUCGGCUUAAGUGCCAUAACGAGCGCAACCCUUGUUGUCAGUUACUAACAGGUUCCGCUGAGGACUCUGACAAGACUGCCAUCGUAAGAUGUGAGGAAGGUGGGGAUGACGUCAAAUCAGCACGGCCCUUACGUCCGGGGCUACACACGUGUUACAAUGGGGGGUACAGAGGGCCGCUACCACGCGAGUGGAUGCCAAUCCCCAAAACCUCUCUCAGUUCGGACUGGAGUCUGCAACCCGACUCCACGAAGCUGGAUUCGCUAGUAAUCGCGCAUCAGCCACGGCGCGGUGAAUACGUUCCCGGGCCUUGUACACACCGCCCGUCAAGCCAUGGGAGCCGGGGGUACCUGAAGUGCGUAACCGCGAGGAGCGCCCUAGGGUAAAACUGGUGACUGGGGCUAAGUCGUAACAAGGUAGCCGUACCGGAAGGUGCGGCUG